AUUGAACGCUGGCGGCAGGCCUAACACAUGCAAGUCGAACGAGUGGCGGACUGGUGAGUAAUGUCUGGGAAACUGCCUGAUGGAGGGGGAUAACUACUGGAAACGGUAGCUAAUACCGCAUACCAUCGGAUGUGCCCAGAUGGGAUGAGAUAGUAGGUGGGGUAAAGGCUCACCUAGGCGACGAUCCCUAUCUGGUCUGAGAGGAUGACCAGCACACAUGGAAAUGAGCCACGGUCCAGACUCCUACGGGAGGCAGGAGUGGGGAAUAUUGCACAAUGGGCGAAAGCCUGAUGCAGCCAUGCCGCGUGUAGGAAGAAGGCCUUCGGGUUGUAAAGUACUUGCAGCGGGGAGGCGUUACCCGCAGAAGAAGCACCGGCUAACUCCGUGCCAGCAGCCGCGGUAAUUC
rnacentral:rRNA from 1 species